CAAACGACUCUCGGCAACGGAUAUCUUGGCUCAUGCAUCGAUGAAGAACGCAGCAAAAUGCGAUACUUGGUGUGAAUUGCAGAAUCCCGUGAACCAUCGAGUUUUUGAACGCAAGUUGCGCCCAAAGCCUUUUGGCCGAGGGCACGUCUGCCUGGGCGUCACAU
rnacentral:rRNA from 1 species